GGACUAGGAGGGGCAAUUAAAAAAAAAGACGCAGUAGCAAAAACGGCAAAAGAAUCACGCUAAUAGACUUGGGAAUCUUUUCCAGAGAGGAGGAGGAAAGGUGACGUGGGAGGAAAAAUAUUUGGAUUAUUAGAAAAAGACGAGACUAUUAACCGUAGGAAGGAAUGAUGUGACGGGGAGGAACGAAGUGGGAGGCUCAUUUCUCCCUCUUUGGAAGCAAUAAGAAAUUGGAGCAGGCAACGAGAAAAGGAGAUGCAUACUCAGGGAUCGGGCAGAAGAAGAAAGGGGUGGGCGAGAGUAAGAAAUUGGGACGGAAAAGGGAAUAGCUAAACCCAGGAGAAAGUGCGUGGGCAAUCCUGGGGAGAAGGGCAGGAGGAGGAGAGAGGCGAUUCCAGGACGAAGAACGGAGGCGUCAUAUCAGAAAGACAAGAGAUGGGCGGGCUGCUGGGGGAUCAACUCGAAGAGCGGCUGCUUCGCCGGCUGGUAGGCAUUUAGGAGGGGAGGAGGAGGAGAGGUUCUGUGUCCGCCUCCUCUUCCGCCGACAAAUGUUUUUAGGCUCCAAAGCUGGCCUUUUCCUUCUGCUCCCGCGAGGAGGCCGAGGCCAAGUCAGAUCAAAACACCAGAAGAUACACUCACAUUAUGUGGGCUGGAUGGCUUUUCAGCUGUAAUUGAUCUCCUUAGGUUAGCAGGCCUCAUCAAAUACAAGACAAAUGCCAGAACCAGCCAGCCCAGAAUUAUCAUGGUAACACUGAUGCCAUUGUCAGCAGAUGGAUUUGGUCCUGGUACUGGAAAAAAUGAGAGAAACUCAGUUAAAAGAAGUACAGAAUCCAUCACAUUCAUCAAACUGGAAAAACCACCCACAAAUCAUCAGUACGGAAACUGUUCUGGGGAUUGGACAAUAUUGUUGAUCAGGUAUAGAAGAAUCUCUGGCUGAAUGGGGCACAUGAUUAAGCUCCAUCUGGAGGGGAAAGAGGAGGAGGAGGAAGUGGGGUAUAAUCUAUUCCCCUGCCAAAGUUGGGGAAGAGACCACACUGCCAGCAGAAGCAUUCAGAAGCCCAAUACACACUGAGAGCCCGAGCAGUAUUAAUUUCAGUUGGCUUACUCUAAGUAUGAUUAUAUGGAGAUCAAAUGCCAUUAAACCAGCAAAAACUCUUGAAAUAUGAAAUGCUCUUAUGAAAAUCAAAUAAAAAAGGAACCAUUCAUAAAACUAAAUUUAGAUACACUUCACGAUGCAUAUAUCACAGAAGAAAUGAGAUGAUUGUGCAACCUGAACACCCCUUAGGCUGAAAGCAGAUGACAGUUUUAAUCCAGAAAGCUAAAAUGCAUGUAGUUGCUCAUGAUGUGGAUGCUCCUUCCACUAGUAAACAAUCUUUCCCAAACCUGCAAAACCUAUAUGAAGAGAAGUUACAGCGGGACUGAAGAAAUCCAUGAUUAUACCAUUGGAAUAGAUGUAUCUUGCAAACAGUUUUCAUUUGCUUUAAACUUAUUGCCUAUCUCCAAUUUAAUUAUGCAGAGAAAGUGAAGCAAAAGAAAGGUGGGCUUCUUGUGUCACACAAAACCAAACAAGAUAUAACAAUUGAAAAUGCUAGCAUAAGGAAGCUUUUGUUUAUUGCAUUAAUUUAUUUAAAAUUAUUCAACAUUUUAGCCUAUUAUUCCUUCAAGAAGCAAUACAUGUAUGAUUCCCAGGCUGAUUAUAGCUUCAGCAUUAAAUUCUUUCAGAUCAUACAUUGCUUUGUGAAGAUGAAUGAUGGAGAGCAAAGUCUUUUUAUUUUUGGUCUGAGGCAAAUCUGUUGGACCACUUUGGGGGAAGGUACCUGCCUGUGAUCUGCAAACCCUGAUGGAUGACUAGCUGAACUCUCAAUAUAGGCUUCCAAUGUGUCUCUCUGUGACUUUCUUCAAAUCCAUCUUUCCAUCACUUUAACCAUUCAAACAGGCAGCAGAAAAUGGCCCUCAUUACAUUGAUUUUUGUUUAAUUUUGAACAACUCUGAGAAGAGGACAUCAAGGAGAAAAGCAAAUGGGAAAUCUACUUCCUCCACUUUUUAGAAAGUCAUGCUGCUAUUUAUUUCCUAAUCUCCUACUGUAAGUGGUCCCUUUGGGACAUGGUUGCAGUAUAAUAUCAAAUGCAAUCCCUCAUACGGAACCCUUUCUGUUGCUUUUAGAGGUCCAGUUCCUGCUGGACCCUUCCCCUCAAGUGUCUCUGGUUUCUAUACUUGGUGGAGUAGGGUUUAAUCCUGGUCCACACCCUUCCUUGGCUGUUCUUGUGUGUUUGGUCAUAGCCCAACUCUUGAUGAAGGAAGGCUGGCUGGCAAGAGACUCCACUCAGUCAUUGUCUAAACACAGUUCUUUAUGAGUCACUGUACUGACUGUAAACCUUAAGUUUAAGAAAUAGAUGACUUAGUUAAAUGCUGUCUGCUUCAUUUCCACUUCAUCUUGAAUUGCUUUUAAAAUGAUCAUGUUGUUAAGUUUAUUUCACUUGUGCUCCUUUCUGAAAAUCUAUGACAGCCUUCCCAAUUGGACAUUCUCCAGAUGUGCUGAAUUGCAAUUCCUAUCAUUUCCAGCCAGCAUAGCCAUCCUGGUGGGAAAUAAUAGUUGUAGUCCUACAUGGCUGAAGGGAUGCAAGUUGGGGAAGACUGGUCUAUGGCCUCAUCCUACAACAUCUUGUCAAACUGACGUCCUCAGCUUUCUCUCAUGCCCAUUUUUUCUUCUCCCUGUAUCCUACUGCCCAUAGUCAAAGUAGUGAAGUAACCACAUUUUAAAUACUUUGUACAAUUCUAGUCAUUACACAUCAACAAGGCUAUUGUAGACUUGAAAAAAGUGUAGAAAAAGAUAACAAAUGAUCAAGGGGCUAGAGCAACUCCACUUCAAGGAAGGGUUAUAACAUCAGGCCCGGUUUAGCUUAGAAAAGAGGUAAGGGGAAUUGUACCAAAAAUGCAUGGGAUGAAGAAUGUGGAUUGAGAGACAUUUCUCUCUGCCAUAAUGCUAGAAUCCAGGUUUAUUCAGGGUGCAAAAGUAUAGGUUCCUACCCAGAAGACAUACAAUCCAUAAUUUAACACAAGAGGGGAAAGGGAGGAUGAACGAGAGAGAAAAGUGUUAUUUUACAUAUGCACAUUCAGGCUUAAGUUACAAUAGUGUGGCAUGAGGAUUGUGCCAAAAAAGUGCAUUUAAAAGCAUGCAAAGAGAGAGACACACACACACAACAUCACACAGCAGUCAGUUUCAAACAUUCAGAGCUACAUGAUGGAAAAGGCAAAAUCAUUUGAGCGUUUAAACUUUAGGAGAUGGAGUUGAAGCAAAGCUGGAAGAACAUAAGAAACAGGAAUGUGUCAA